rnacentral:tRNA from 1 species
GCGGACGUAGUUCAGCUGGUAGAAACAACCUUGCCAAGGUUGGGGUCGCGGGUUCGAGUCCCGUCGUCCGCUCCA